rnacentral:lncRNA from 1 species
GUUUGGGACGGCCGACAGAAAGCUUUGGGAAGCUUCUGGAACAGUUAUAAAAAAGUUAGUCUGGAACCUGUGAAUGAGUUUACUCCACACUUUACUCUCAUCAUCAAUCAUUAUAAAUAUCUGUUUUUAGGAAGAAGAGAGGAGCAUCUCCAGCCCCCAGUGGAGUGUCUAUGAAGAGUGGCUGGUCCAUGGAUCCUCCUCCGCAGUUCAGCGGUGAAACUGUGACCUCUGACCCAAAAGAGAAGAAAAAAAACAUUAUCCGGGAAAAUCUGGACAAAAUAUUCAAGGUUAGUCCUAAAUCAUAUGCAUGAUGAGGAUGUCCCUGAUUUAUUUAUUACUCACUUUUACUUUAAGGUUUUGAUUAAUUAAACAUUAAUUCAUAUUUAGUUUCUGGUGUAUUAUAAUGUAAUAUUGUUAAUGUUUGGUGCUCAGUAACAUGAUGUUUUACACCCAAUAGCAUCUGUAACUUUACCCCUCCUCAGAUCAGUGCCUCUCUGAUGUUCAGAUUGUCAUCUCUCUCUUCUCUGUCACAGCUUUAGUGAUUCUCUGAUUGUAAAGGAGAGUAUCUUGUUGUUUCCAACUUCCCUAGGCGGUUCACCAAAAAAGGCAAUCGCUACGGCUGUCCAGUCAGAGACAGGAAUAUAUGCACAACAAUGCCAGUUAAAAGGGGGUGUCUAUUGAAGUACCCACACUCUUCAAAUGUGGUUCUGUAACAACAUUCAUAUACAGU